rnacentral:rRNA from 1 species
AGGAUGAACGCUGGCGGCGUGCUUAACACAUGCAAGUCGAACGAUGAAGGCUGGAGCUUGCUCUGGCUGGAUUAGUGGCGAACGGGUGAGUAACACGUGAGUAACCUGCCCCAGACUCUGGGAUAAGCGCUAGGAAACGGCGUCUAAUACCGGAUACGAGCUUCCACCGCAUGGUGAGGAGCUAGGAAAGUAAUUUCGGUCUGGGGAUGGGACUCGCGGCCUAUCGAGCUUGUUGGUGAGGUAAUGGCUCACAAGGCGACGACGGGUAGCCGGCCUGGAGAGGGUGAACCGGCCACGACCGUGGGACUGGAGACGACGGCCCAGACUCCGUACGGGAGCAGCAGUGGGAAUAUGCACAAGUCGGGCGCAAGCCUAGACUG